UACGUAGGGGGCGAGCGUUGUCCGGAGUUACUGGGCGUAAAGGGCGUGCAGGCGGUGCGGUAAGUUUAGCGUGACAGUCUCCGGCUUAACUGGAGAAGGCCGCUGAAAACUGCUGGACUUGAGGGCCAGAGAGGGACAUAGAAUUCCGGGUGGAGUGGUGAAAUGCGUAGAUAUCCGGAGGAAUACCAAAGGCGAAGGCAGUGUCCUGGCUGGCAACUGACGCUGAGGCGCGAAAGCGUGGGGAGCGAACAGG
rnacentral:rRNA from 1 species